AUACGUAGGUGGCAAGCGUUGUCCGGAAUUAUUGGGCGUAAAGCGCGCGCAGGUGGUUCCUUAAGUCUGAUGUGAAAGCCCCCGGCUCAACCGGGGAGGGUCAUUGGAAACUGGGGAACUUGAGUGCAGAAGAGGAUAGUGGAAUUCCAAGUGUAGCGGUGAAAUGCGUAGAGAUGUGGAGGAACACCAGUGGCGAAGGCGACUGUCUGGUCUAUAACUGACACUGAGGCGCGAAAGCGUGGGGAGCAGACAGGAUUAUAUACCCUGGUAGUCCACGCCGUAAACGGGGAGUGCUAAGUGUUGGGGGGUUUCCGCCCCUCAGUGCUGCAGCUAACGCAUUAAGCACUCCGCCUGGGGAGUACGGUCGCAAGACUGAAACUCAAAUGAAUUGACGGGG
rnacentral:rRNA from 1 species